CGGUGGACCCCCACUGCUGCGGCCUUCAAAGCGACCCCAGGUCAGGCGGGGAUACCCGCUGAGUUUAAGCAUAUCAAUAA
rnacentral:rRNA from 1 species